CUACGGGGGGCUGCAGUGGGGAAUAUUGCACAAUGGGGGAAACCCUGAUGCAGCAACGCCGCGUGGAGGAUGACGCAUUUCGGUGUGUAAACUCCUUUUAUAUAGGAAGAUAAUGACGGUACUAUAUGAAUAAGCACCGGCUAACUCCGUGCCAGCAGCCGCGGUAAUACGGAGGGUGCAAGCGUUACUCGGAAUCACUGGGCGUAAAGCGUGCGCAGGCGGUGUGAUAAGUUGGAUGUGAAAGCCUACGGCUCAACCGUAGAACUGCAUCCAAAACUGUCAAACUAGAGUCUGGGAGGGGAAGAUGGAAUUAGUUGUGUAGGGGUAAAAUCCGUAGAGAUAACUAGGAAUACCAAAAGCGAAGGCGAUCUUCUGGAACAGUACUGACGCUGAGGCGCGAAAGCGUGGGGAGCAAACAGGAUUAGAUACCCUCGUAGUC
rnacentral:rRNA from 1 species